rnacentral:rRNA from 1 species
AACGUAGGUCCCGAGCGUUAUCCGGAUUUACUGGGCGUAAAGCGUGUUCAGGCGGUCUAGCAAGUCGGGCAUGAAAUCUCUCGGCUCAACCGGGAGGGGUUGUCCGAUACUGCUGGGCUUGAGGGCAGCAGAGGGUGGUGGAAUUCCGGGUGUAGUGGUGAAAUGCGUAGAGAUCGGGAGGAACACCAGUGGCGAAGGCGGCCUUCUGGACCAAUACUGACGCUCAUGCACGAAAGCGUGGGGAGCAAACAGG